rnacentral:ncRNA from 1 species
UAGAUCCCUCCGAGCAAAAGUGCCUAAAGCAGAACCCGCCAUGGCACUGCGCCUGCGUUAAUAACGAACGCACAGGGUGACAGGGGAAACCCGGCCGCCUUCCGCAUUGAAAAGGAGCAAGGGGC